rnacentral:lncRNA from 1 species
GAUAUUAUUGUUUUUACACCAAAUUGGUGUAAUUGACUAUUGAGCUCAUGUAUCGUUAUUUUCAUAUUGCGCGCACGGGUAAGAAUCAACAUCUAUAAUUGGGGCACAUUGUUUUCCUUACUUAUUCAAAUUAAAGAAAGAUUAUGGUAUAGAUUACUCGCUGAAUAAAUAUAUUCACGUUAUUUUUUAUUUUUAUUGUAGAUGAUCACGGUCGAAUACAUUGACUUUACCUCUGAAGAAUGGGCGAUUUUAGAAGAUGGCAAAUAUUGCAUGUUUGUCAAAGAAAUUCACACGUGGAUGACAUAUCCAGAUUUUUUGGGCUUUAACCACUUCGUAGGAGUCCGCUACCAUAUAGACUACUUUGAAGCCACCACUAUGAUAUACUUAUUUUCGGAUAGUUUUCUUGGAGAAAUAAUGUGUCCGAGUGGCCUUUGAUGUAUAAAUUUUGGUACAAAUCGGUUAGUUAUCGUAGUAAGAUAUGGUGCUUAGGGCGACUUUUGCAUAGUGCCACUUUUGGUAUGAGAACUUUAGUAAUACAACUUCUGUAUAUCUACUAGUCUCUAAUAUACUUUUUGCAAUGUAACCAAGUAUAUAAGAAA